UUUGUGGUGAUCGACUAAUUGACAUUUAUCGACUACUUGACAUCUAUCGACUACUUGACAUCUACUGCUACGUAUACUUACAUCUAUCAACUACUUGACAUCUAUCCGAUAUGAUACUACUUGACACUAGUUGGAAUCCGCCCAACUAUACUGCACUGUACAUGAUCUAGUUGGGCGUGGCCCCACCCAUUGUAGCCCCACCCCACAGGGCAUGGUCCAAUUUUAGGUCAGAGUACAUGUACCUAUGUACCUGUGAGAAGUAUAGUGCAGUGUAGUAGUAAUCUAGUCUAGUCAUGGCUCUUCAUGUUAGCUCUGAUGAAAUGAUCGAGUUUCUAACAAUAUUGGAAGAUGGUAGAUCUAUAAGGACUAUUCAAGUGGAAGAUGAACAAGGAACUUCCAAUGUGCACAGUCUACUUCAUCAGUGUGAAGACAUUCUCGAAGUUGUUGUUUAUGCCUCUGACUUGUUUCCAGCUGGGUGUGGAGAUGUAUAAGUAUAUUGAAGUAAAUUGCCUAAGAGAUAGUCACAGAAGAGGGAGACCUUGUGUGAACGUGUCUGAGACUCAGUUGGAGCACCUUUUGUCGUUUGAUUUUAGAGUUAGAGAUAUUGCACACGUGCUUCAUGUAUCUGAGAGCACUGUCAAGCGAAGAAUAAUACAGUUUGGAUUUGAAAACAAAUUACAGCGCACAGACAUCUCCGAAUCUGACUUGGAUAUUAUUACUGCUGAUUUUGUUCACCAGUUUCCAAACAGUGGACAAAAUACUUAUGAUGGUUAUCUAAGAGGGAAAGGGAUAAGAAUACAACGAUAUCGAGUAAGAGAGAGCCUUUCUCGUAUUGAUGAAACAGGAGUACAAAGACGUCUGAGACGAGCCUUACACCGCAGGAGAUAUAGUGUACCUAUGCCUAAUAGCUUGUGGCACAUAGAUGGGCACCACAAAUUAAUACGCUGGAGAAUAGUAGUGCAUGGAGGCAUUAAUGGUUUUUCUCGAUUACCAAUCUAUUUAAAAGCGUCUACUGUACUACAGUGUUUUUUGCACGCUGUUUCUUGUUAUGGUUUACCUUCACGUGUGCGGUGUGAUAAAGGAGGCGAAAACGUUAAAGUCUCAGAAUACAUGCCUUCAAAUCCUGAACGAGGUCCUGGUAGAGGUAGCUGUAUUGUAGGGAAAAGUGUCCACAACCAACAGAUCGAAAGAUUGUGGAGAGACGUAUUUGUUGGUUGUCUGUGUAUGUUUUACCGGUUGUUCUAUGCUCUCGAAGACAACAGUUUAUUAGAUCCUACAGAUGAAGUGGAUAUAUUUGCAUUACACUUCGUGUUUCUUCCACGUAUUCAACAACAACUAAAUGUUUUCCGCGAGAGCUAUAGCCAUCACAGAUUGAGAACUGAAGGCAAUAGGACGCCAUACCAGCUUUGGAUAGAGGGAAUGACCUCACUAACAACAGAUGGAGCAGCAUUACAAGGAGUAUUGGAUGAUUCAUCAAUUGGAGAUUAUGGAAUAGAUUGGAACGGCCUCCCUUGUAUCGAGUCCCAAGAUGGGGUUGCAGUCCCAAGCACUAAUUAAUUGCCCACUGUCUGAUGCACAGUUUAGUAUGCUUAAAGAAGAGGUGAACCCACUUGCUGUUUGUGAUGACUAUGGCAUAUCGUUGUUUGGUCGCACCAAAGACUUAGUAGCUAGAUGUCUGUCUAUUUAGAAUGAUGUAACAUAAUGAUAUUGAAAGAAUCAUGAUAAAGUAUGAAAGUGA